AUUACCCUAGCCGCUGGAAAGUGGGAAACUUUUGCUGAUUUGGAUAAAGCUAAAAACUGCCCUUACACAAUAGUAGAGGAAUUCUUUUUUGUAGGCUCGGAUAGUUGAGCGAGAAACACGCGGUUAUCGUUAUUACCUAGCCUAUAGCAACUUAAACAGGAGUCGGGUGUUGGACUGGUGUAAAGAUGAAAUAGGUUUAACUAUUUAAGGGCUGAUCCUGCAGAAUAGGCAAUUACCACAAGAAGAAGUUGAUGAUAGGCAUGUAAAUUCCGUGGUUACAACAUUCAAUAUUUAGUUGGAACCCAAUGAUUAAUGGGGUUAUCAGAUUAUGGAACGAUAGAGAAUGCUUGACAAGUGUUCGAUGAAAUGACUUACAAAGUUUGUGUUUUUCUGGAGUUCUAUAAGUGACCUUUUCAAAAUGGGGAAUGCUGAAGAAGCUAUCAAAAUGUUUCAGAUUGGGGGUGCACUGGGCUGAUGAUUUUACAUCCUUGGAUGCCGAUCCAUGUUAUGAAGAACCUUAAUGUUUUCUCUGGUUGUCAUAAGUUGAUAUCCCUUAUUACUGUUAGAGGAUGGACCGUUGGGAUGCAAAUCAUUGCAGACUUGCAUCUUGCUCUUGUGGGGAUUGCUGGUACAUACAAGGUUCCCUCAGGAUAACACUCCUGAGCCAGUCCAGGGCCGCGGGGGUCCUUAACAUGAUGCAACUUUGCAAGAAUGGAUAUAUAUCAGACCCAGUCAAGUAUCUUUUACAUUGCAGUCAUUUAAAUUUCAAAUAUGUGGGCAUUUUAAAUUAAGACUCAAACAGGUGAAAGUGGAACAAAACAUACCGAGGUUCACAUGCGGCAAUAUCCACACAAAACCAAUCUACCAAGCAAUCCCCACCGCCCGUUUCUAUGGAAAGUGAUAAGGUUGGUGUGUGCUGGACUCAAUCUAUCCUGUCCCUGUCCAUGUAUGUUGAAAAAUAAUUUAGAGUCCUGCAGCGAAAUUCGAACUCUAAGGCAUUAGUCAUUUUCUCAAUUUAAGCAGUUGAGCUUAGUUCAAGAAUCAAGGUGCAGGGUCUUAAUUCGUGGUAAACCAUGCCCCUGCCAUACGCCAAUGUACAUUAAAAUUACUUCAAGUUCUGAUUGUUAAUAUC